AUGGCAUCGGCCACCAGCUCCCGCCACCUCCUCCUUCUCGUCCUUUGGCUCAGCGCGUCCGCGAGCACCACCUGGGCCCAUGGAGGCGGCGGCGACCACGACGGCGACGCGGACGGCAGCGCGAAGGCGAAGCCGGAUCUGCGGGCGCCGGGGCUGGUGGCGGUGAAGCUGUGGUGCCUGGCGCCGGUCUUCGCGGGCACCCUGGCCGGCGGAGUGUCCCCCUACUUCAUGCGGUGGAAUGAGGCGUUCCUGGCGCUGGGCACGCAGUUCGCCGUCGGCGCAGUGCAGGUGAGCAGCAUCAGCAGGUCGCACGUUCUCCGCUGA
rnacentral:rRNA from 1 species